UACGUAGGGUGCAAGCGUUGUCCGGAAUUAUUGGGCGUAAAGAGCUUGUAGGCGGUUUGUCGCGUCUGCUGUGAAAUUUCGGGGCUCAACCCCGAACUUGCAGUGGGUACGGGCAGACUAGAGUGUGGUAGGGGAGACUGGAAUUCCUGGUGUAGCGGUGAAAUGCGCAGAUAUCGGGAGGAACAUCAGUGGCGAAGGCGGCCUUCUGGUCCAGUACUGACACUCAAGUGCGAAAGCGUGGGGAGCAAACAGG
rnacentral:rRNA from 1 species